rnacentral:rRNA from 1 species
CAGCAGCCGCGGUAAUACGAAGGGUGCAAGCGUUAAUCGGAAUUACUGGGCGUAAAGCGUGCGUAGGCGGUGAGUUAAGUCUGCUGUGAAAUCCCCGGGCUCAACCUGGGAAUGGCAGUGGAUACUGGCUCGCUAGAGUGUGUCAGAGGAUGGUGGAAUUCCCGGUGUAGCGGUGAAAUGCGUAGAGAUCGGGAGGAACAUCAGUGGCGAAGGCGGCCAUCUGGGGCAACACUGACGCUGAGGCACGAAAGCGUGGGGAGCAAACAGGAUUAGAUACCCCCGUAGUCCCUGUCUCUUAUAC